rnacentral:tRNA from 1 species
CGAGGCGUAGCGCAGUUGGUAGCGCGUAUGGUUCGGGACCAUAAGGUCGUGGGUUCAAAUCCCGUCGCCUCAACCA